GAUUUAAAAGUUUUAUUCAAGUAGGGAGAUCAUUCCACAGAGCCAGGGCACAAUAAGAAAAAGCUCUGUGACCUGCAGACUUUAUAUUCAACCUAGGAACACAUGGCAGUCCUGCACCCUGCGAACGCAAGGCCCGAGCCGGUACGUAGAGCUUAACCAUGUCAGCCAGGU